rnacentral:rRNA from 1 species
AUUGAACGCUGGCGGAAUGCUUUACACAUGCAAGUCGAACGGUAGAGGGGGCAACCCCCUUGAGAGUGGCGAACGGGUGAGUAAUAUAUCGGAACGUGCCCAGUCGUGGGGAUAACGUAGCGAAAGUUACGCUAAUACCGCAUACGAUCUAAGGAUGAAAGCGGGGGAUCGCAAGACCUCGCGCGAUUGGAGCGGCCGAUAUCAGAUUAGGUAGUUGGUGAGGUAAAGGCUCACCAAGCCAACGAUCUGUAGCUGGUCUGAGAGGACGACCAGCCACACUGGAACUGAGACACGGUCCAGACUCCUACGGGAGGCAGCAGUGGGGAAUUUUGGACAAUGGACGCAAGUCUGAUCCAGCCAUUCCGCGUG